rnacentral:sRNA from 1 species
UUAUAUUUUUUGAUCGCUAAGUUGUUCGUUUGCAUGUCGAUGGAUUCAGCGACCAAAAGCAGCGACUAAUCACUUAAAUCAGCGCCUGAUCGCUAAAACUUUCGGCGACCAAAAAUUGCGGUCGCUGGUCGCUGGCGACUGUCGCUACUUUUGAUCGCUGUCGUUGGUUUCAGUCGCCAGCGACAAGCAAACGAACAGGGCCUUUGUUAGAAGAUACAAAGACAAACACUCAUACGAACUUCGGCUACACCAUAAAAGCUUUGAGAAGCAAGAAGAAGCUUGGUUAGUGUUUUGGAGUUGAAUAUGACUUGAUGUGAUGUGUAUGAUUGAAUAUAAGAACUUAAAACGCAACUGGAUAUGAAAAGCCUAAGUAGUGUUUCCUUGUUAGAAGAUACAAAGCCAGAGCCUCAUACAGACUUCAUCUAAACAAUCAAAGCUUUGAGAAGCAACAUGAAGCUUGGUUAGUGUUUUGAAGUCAAAUAUUACCAGAUUUCAUGUGUAUGAGAAAGUAUGACAACUAGAACCACAACCGGAUUCUAAAAGCCUAAGUAUUGAA